UACGUAGGGGGCAAGCGUUGUCCGGAAUCAUUGGGCGUAAAGAGCGCGUAGGCGGCCCUGUAAGUCCGCUGUGAAAGUCAAGGGCUCAACCCUGGAAAGCCGGUGGAUACUGUCGGGCUAGAGUCCGGAAGAGGCGAGUGGAAUUCCUGGUGUAGCGGUGGAAUGCGCAGAUAUCAGGAGGAACACCGAUGGCGAAGGCAGCUCGCUGGGACGGUACUGACGCUGAGGCGCGAAAGCGUGGGGAGCGAACAGG
rnacentral:rRNA from 1 species